rnacentral:rRNA from 1 species
GACGAACGCUGGCGGCGUGCUUAACACAUGCAAGUCGAACGGUAAGGCCCUUCGGGGUACACGAGUGGCGAACGGGUGAGUAACACGUGGGUGAUCUGCCCUGCACUUCGGGAUAAGCCUGGGAAACUGGGUCUAAUACCGGAUAGGACCACUGCCUGCAUGGGUGGUGGUGGAAAGCUUUUGCGGUGUGGGAUGGGCCCGCGGCCUAUCAGCUUGGUGGUGGGGUGAUGGCUUACCAAGGCGCCGACGGGUAGCCGGCCUGAGAGGGUGACCGGCCACACUGGGACUGAGAUACGGCCCAGACUCCUACGGGAGGCAGCAGUGGGGAAUAUUGCACAAUGGGCGCAAGCCUGAUGCAGCGACGCCGCGUGAGGGAUGACGGCCUUCGGGUUGUAAACCUCUUUCAGCACCGACGAAGCGCAAGUGACGGUAGGUGCAGAAGAAGGACCGGCCAACUACGUGCCAGCCGCCGCGGUAA